rfam:Hordeum vulgare subsp. vulgare, WGS project CAJW01000000 data, contig: morex_contig_140620
AUACUACUCCCUCAGUCCGGAAAUACUUGUCCUGAAAAUGAAUAAAACUGAUGUAUCUAUAAUUAAAAUAAGUCUAGAUACAUUCAUUCAUUUUAGGACAAGUAUUUCGGGAUGGAAGGAGUAUUUG